rnacentral:rRNA from 1 species
AUGGAGGAGGGGUUGAGGUUUCGCGGCUCGGGAGAAGGGAGCUUCCGGGGAGUAGGUGAUUUGGCGCCCACCAGAGGCAAAGCAGGCAUCGAGGCAGGGGUGACGUGGGAGGAAGCAGGGGUGCCGGACAUGAACAACAGCUGCCGGAGGCUGGGAGCUCCGCGGCGGCGGUCAUGGCCCGCGGGCGUGACAGCAAGGCAAGGGAGCUCGGGGCGGUUGCGUGCCUUCAGGAGCGAAGCAUGGGUGCGGGCGCGCAUGGAGAGGCUCCAGGUCGAGCUCCUGGUGCUCGACAAAGACGACGCGAAGGAAGAGGAGCCCGGCAAGGGAGCUAACGGAGGGGGAACGAAGGAGGCCGCAGAGAGCUUGGGGAGGGAGCGGGGCGACGACGAUGGUGCUCCACUCCUCCUGGUGCUCCUCCGACGAGGAGAGUUGGCGGCGGGGACGAGGUGGCGUAGGGUCGGGCGCGAUGCCCUGGCGGCGGCGCUAGGAGGAGGAUGA